UGUGGAGGUGCACCCUAGCAUCUCUUCUUACACACCCAGUGUCUCUUCUUAUAAGGCCACCAAUCCUAUAUGAUUAGGCCCCAUUCUUGGGAUAUAAUUUAACUUCAUCUACUUUUUAAAAGGCCCAACUCCAGACACAGUCACAACAGGAUUUAAGCUUCCCACCAAUUAAUUCUAGUGUUACAAUUGUGUAGAUGACACUUACUAAACAAUAUGGCACUGGCUGGGAUGGAGGAGGGGGCAGGGUUCCAGCUGACCUUAGGGGCAGAUGAAAGGGAGACCAGCAUCCUCCUCUGGGAAGGAAGAGGAAACCACAUCAGCAGAGCAGCCCUGAGUGCUGACACACAAAGGCAGGAGUUGGGCUGAGGUGAGAAGCAGAGUAGCUGGGAGAGGAGAAGGAACAGGAAUGCUAUCUGUGGAGCUUGAGCCCCAAGCACUGUGAUGGGAGACACAGCCAACUGAUGGCCAAGAACAAGCAGCCCCGGGGGGGGGGGGGUGAGGCAGGCAUGUGGGAGCCUUCUGAAGCCUGACCUCUGUUGUGCUUAUGCCAGGCAGUGCCUGAAAGCCAGCCCAGAGUCAUCCCAGAGCUCAGCCACAGAAGCUCAGCCCUGGCCCUUUGGUCCGUGCCAUGACCCUAUUCCUCAGGACCCAUCAGUUGAGAGCAGAGGCCCUCACACAGCUUUGCAAAGAGGUUGCAAAAUCCUGAGUGUGCCUGAGCCUGUGGGAACUGGGCCUCUCCCACCUUUCCUUCUUUCUGUAAACAAAGAAAUGGCCAAAAUGGAAACUCUCUCUCUUGUCCUUCUUUCAAAGGGUGAUAACACUGAUGAUCCAUCAUUUUUAUUUCAUGUGGUCAGCAGUCACAGAAAGAUGGACACUCCUUUCCCCAUUGGCUGUGCACUUUUGUCCCUGUCAACAAUUGCAUCUGGCAUCUACUAGUGUUUAUUUCAAUUUCAUAAUUAAAGAAGAAUGUUAAGUGUGCAACUCACUUCUAUUCCAAAUGCUGGAAAGAUCUGGAACACUAUAACCCCUUGAGAAAAUCUUAGGGAAGGAAAAAAAAACACAUUUACAAAUAACAAAUUUGGAAAUAACAGAGCAUCUUAGCUUGGGACACAUGUAAUUUUCCUAGACUUUCCUUACUUUAUUUUUUUAAAUAAGUAUUUUCCAAAAAUCAACCAAAAAAGAGGUCAAUGGUAGUAACAAUUUCAGAAUAACUGUUAGAAACCAAACAAAGGAAAACAUCUGGAGAAGAUAGAUAAGAGGAUAUGAUACUCUGUAUCAUUUUUAAAAGGGACUGAUGGAUAAAUACAAAAAAAGCAACCACACAACUAACCCUGUAGUCAUUUUGGUCAAAUUAUUGAAUUCAAAUUAUAGAAUUUCUAUAAUACAUAGAGUUUUCUAGAGAGAGGAAUACUGGUUGCUAGGAGUUAUGACAACCCAGGAGAAGCUGUACCCUAUUUUUGCUGUCAAGGUGGCUGUGGUCAGCAGUCACAGAUCACAGGGCUGCUGGGUCUGCAUCUGGCUUUGGAAUCUGUCUCUUGGCUGUGACACAUUCUG
rnacentral:lncRNA from 1 species